GGCCUGUUGAGGGAGGGAAGGUGGUCAGGGGUCAGUCUACCAUCUGGAUCCAGUUCCUCACCUGAUAUACAUGUAACUGCUCAUAACCUGAAGGUUUGAUUUGCAAUGUUACCGGUAUGCUGAUGAUUCACAGCUCUGCCUUCCCCCCACCCCAUCUUCUGGUAUCAGGGAGGUUGUUAAAACCCCAAACUGGCAGUUCUGGGAUGGAAGAGGUUAAAUCUGGGCAAGAUGGAGGUACGUGUGUUGAGAGAUCACGGCUCUUGAAGGAGGAUUACAACUGAUGCUUACCUGAAAAGACCCAGGUCCUUUUGAAAAGCAAGCUCAUGGUUUAGAGUGCCCAUGGACUUGGCAAGGAGUGGAUGAGGGAGCCCAGGUCUCAUCAGUAUCUAGAAAUGGUUUUUUUCCAGCUUUUGCCAUAUGCCAACUAUGGCUGUUUCAGAAGAGGGCACACCUCCAAAUUAUGCUGUGCCUUUUUUGUCCCACUUGCUGGUUCUAGGAUGGAAACAUGGGUGGCUCAAUGGUGGUCUAAACCACCGAUCCUCUUGGGCUUGCCGAUUGGAAGGUCGGCAGUUCGAAUCCCCGCAAUGGGGUGAGCUCCCGUUGAUCUGUCGCAGCUCCUGCCAACCUAGCAGUUCAAAAGCACACCAGUUCUAGUAGUUAAAUAGGUACUGCUGUGGCAGGAAUGUAAACAAUGUUUUCAUGAGCUCUGGUUUCCAUCAUGGUGUUCUGUUGUGCCAGAAGCAGUUUAGCCAUGAUAGCCACAUGACCCGGAAAGCUGUCUGUGGACAAAUGCCGGCUCCCUUGACCUGAAAGUGAGAUGAACGCCACAGCCCCAUAGUCACCUUUGACUGGAUUGAACUGUCCAGGGGUCCUUUACCUUCUUCUCCUUCUAACCUUCUAGGAUGGGAUGUCGGUAUGUUAUUGGAGUUCUGAGUUUCAUUUUAACUUUGUGAAUCUGUUUUCUUUUUAAUAAUAUUGAUUGUUUGUUCAUACUUGUAGUUUUUGUUGAUUAUAAGCUCCUUUUCAUGGACUUUCCUUAAAAGGGUUUUUUAAUGACUAACAUGCAAUAGUUAGUUAAAAAUCUCGAAUUGUAAUGGUUGUGGAAGGGAAUGGGAGGGCCAGUAAAUGGAAUAGUUGCCUGUUUAGAAAAAAUAUAUACAGUGGUACCUCGGUUUACAUACGCUUCAGGUUACAUACGCUUCAGGUUACAGACUCCGCUAACCCAGAAAUAGUACCUCGGGUUAAUAACUUUGCUUCAGGAUGAGAACAGAAAUCGUGUGGUGGCGGCACGGCAGCAGCAGGAGGCCCCAUUAGCUAAAGUGGUGCUUCAGGUUAAGAACAGUUUCAGCUUAAGAACGGACCUCUGGAACGAAUGAAGUACAUAACCAGAAGUACCACUGUAAUGCUUCAGACAUGGAAUCCCUGUCCUUUAGAAUAUAAGAAUCCACUCAGAAAAAUGAUUUUUAAUUUGCAGACUAGUCUCUAUUAGAUGGGCUCUUUAACAUAAAAAGAUAAUCUCAAACAUUUUUAACCAUUUGCUUCUUACAUUUCUUGCUACGUGGAAAGAAACAAAGCAAAACAUUUUAACCCUCCCCUUUCAGCCAACCUCAGAUUUUUCCAAAUUUGUCCUAUGAUGAAUUGUGGCAUGGAUGAUUGGAUGUUACACUCCAUUACAGUGUGACAGUGGACUGCGUUGCCUGGUGUACCAUGCUGGGA